rnacentral:rRNA from 1 species
AACAGGAUUAGAUACCCUGGUAGUCCACGCCGUAAACGAUGAGUGCUAGGUGUUGGGUCCUUUCCGGGACUCAGUGCCGUAGCUAACGCAUUAAGCACUCCGCCUGGGGAGUACGACCGCAAGGUUGAAACUCAAAGGAAUUGACGGGGGCCCGCACAAGCGGUGGAGCAUGUGGUUUAAUUCGAAGCAACGCGAAGAACCUUACCAGGUCUUGACAUCCCGGUGCCCGUCCUAGAGAUAGGAUUUUGCUUCGGCACACCGGUGACAGGUGGUGCAUGGUUGUCGUCAGCUCGUGUCGUGAGAUGUUGGGUUAAGUCCCGCAACGAGCGCAACCCUUAUUGUUAGUUGCCAUCAUUCAGUUGGGCACUCUAGCGAGACUGCCGGUAAUAAACCGGAGGAAGGUGGGGAUGACGUCAAAUCAUCAUGCCCCUUAUGACCUGGGCUACACACGUGCUACAAUGGCUGGUACAACGAGUCGCAAGUCGGUGACGGCAAGCUAAUCUCUUAAAGCCAGUCUCAGUUCGGAUUGUAGGCUGCAACUCGCCUACAUGAAGUCGGAAUCGCUAGGAAUCGCGGAUCAGCACGCCGCGGUGAAUACGUUCCCGGGCCUUGUACACACCGCCCGUCACACCACGAGAGUUUGUAACACCCGAAGUCGGUGAGGUAACCUUUUAGGAGCCAGCCGCCUAAGGUGGGAUAGAUGAUUGGGGUGAAGUCGUAACAAGGUAACC